UCUACCCGGCCGCAGCGCGUCUCUAGGCCAGGUCCCCCGAGAUCGGGGUCACCAAAACUCCCGCAGACCUUUUCCCCUGGGGCGACUCGGGGGGCCUGUUACCAGUAGUCACCACCCUGCCUCGACUCCCUCGGUGAAUCAGGGCCCUAGGGCAGCCCGGAAGUGAAGAUAUAAAGGAAGAUGGCAAGGGAAGCCCCAGCUCUGAGGAAUGAUUGGGCAAGAGCAGCCCUCCUUAGCAAACAUAACAUCCAUCUGCUAAAUGUUCCUUUAGAGUUUUUCUCCAGUGAAAAGCUGUGUGUUGGGUUUCAACUUCAGAUCUGUGCAAAUGACUAACACAAGAACCACAGCUGCAGAGAAGUUCAAGCUGUCAUAGCAUGGGGAACAUUCAGUUCAGAGGAAGUUAAGGUAUAUUUCUCUUUGACUACUCAUACAUCCAGUAACCCCUAAAAAGGGCAAGAAAGUCAAAGGCAAAGCGACCCCUGCUUCACUGAUACACAACUUGCAUACUGUACAUACUAGAACAAGGUCACAAUCUGAAAACAUUUAUAUUUGGCUUUAUAAUGACAUCAGUUCAUUCCCUAUUCUGCUCCAAAAUCUAAGGAAGUGCUUAUUUUACCUCUCUUGUAA